AGAUGUCUACAUUAGAUACCCCUGUAGUCCCAGCCGUAAACUAUGCGCGUUAGGUGUAUCGGUGACCACGAGUUACCGAGGUGCCGAAGGGAAACCGUGAAACGUGCCGCCUGGGAAGUACGGUCGCAAGGCUGAAACUUAAAGGAAUUGGCGGGGGAACACCACAACAGGUGGAGCCUGCGGUUUAAUUGGACUCAACGCCGGGAAGCUCACCGGAUAGGACAGCAGAAUGAUUGCCGGGCUGAAGACCCUGCAUGACUAGCUG
rnacentral:rRNA from 1 species